AUCCCCGGCCCAGCCCUGUGCUCAUCAGAGGAAAAGGACCCCCGAUGUAAAAGAGGACGCAUAGUGUAGAAGCAGCCAGAGGAUGAACAGUGUACUUCCUGGGCUGGCAAGGGCAUACGGAACUCCGUGGAAGCUGCAGGAGGAGGAACAGCAGAAGAAAGGGCACAGACGAAUGAGAGGCAAUAAUUUGUUUGUGGGACCUCGCGUCUGAAGCCCCCACGGGAGAAGCCUGGUGAGAAACGAGCCAGUGGAAGAACAAGACAGCUCCUGCCAAACCUGCCCAGGCAUUUUAACCAAUUCAGGUUCUUAUUCCACAGGGUACAUCGGAGAGGCACAGUUUAUGACUGAAAUCUCAGCAGGUAGAAGGCUGGAGAAGGAUUAAGAGAUCAACCACAGUCCACCCUACGUAUCGUAUCGGGAGUGAGUCUCGAGCAAACAAAGAAGUUAACCAAUAACAAGAGCCACUGGGGUUGCAGUGUGGAAGUUAGUGUAAAGGAAGAAAUCAGAGGCAGGAGGAAUUGCUGAUAAAGUACUAGAGUCACUCCAGGUAGAGGAGAAGCUGAGGAGACCGGGCAGGAACCAGGUUGAUCCUUCAAUCAAGUGCAAUUCCAUAGAUGUAGAACCGUGACUGAGUUUACUAUCUACUCCACUUUAGAUUCGAUAUUAAAACCAAAGAGAAGCAAACCUGAAGGAGGACAGCCAGAAACUAUUCCUUAAAACUCUCCACUUCAAUCGCAAGGACUUUGAAGUUAGUGAAUGACUAAUGGUGCCUGGAAGCCAGUCUUCUCCUGUUUGCCUUUGGAACAAGAUGUAGAACUCCUCUAGCGCCGUGUCUGCCUGGAUGCUGCUAUACUUCCUGCCAUGAUGGUAAUAGACUGAACCUCAGAACCAAUAAGCCAGCCCCAAUUAAAUGUUGUCCUUUAUAUAAAGUCCUGGUUGAGAAGCCACAAAGAGGAAAAACACAUUUGGUAGAGAAUUAGCAAGCAGUAUUAUGACUGGACGCAUGACUCCAACAUUCCCUGGGGCCUGGGACAGAGAGAAAUGGCAACAGAAACUCCCAGGCUUCCAAGCUACAUAAUGCUGAUAUGCAUUUUAUAACUCCACUCUGCUGGGGAACUAGCAAAACUCUGUCCUGUGCAUGACUAAGUAGAGAGGAAACCUUGGUACUUGCCUGAGUGGUUUACGGUUCUGGGUCAAGUGAGAGAGAGAAGUAAGAGAGAUGGCAGUACGCCUUGGGCUAAGGAUUAUCCAGAAGAUAAGGGUUAUCUUCUGGAAGGAGAUAAAGCGAGGAUACUGGGUUGAGAGUUGGGAGGAAGAGUCAACUGUAACUGGAAGGACUGCGGCAAGGGGGAUCUGGAAAUGUGAACGUGCCUGGUACAGCAGCACAGCCUAACUUAGAAGGU
rnacentral:lncRNA from 1 species